AGGAGGCGGGGCUGAGCUGGAGGAGACAUGUCACAUGUCCCCCCAGUAAGGACUUGACCUCUGCCCAGUGAACUAAGAUGAACCCUUUCUCCACGUCCAGGGUAAGAAGCAGAAAAGAUUGUUAGGGAGUAGACGCCUGCUUAAACAACAACAACAGUGUGAUGUCAGUGGAAACCUGAAUGUUCACUUCAAAUGAUUCCCUUUGGAUUCCCCUCCCAUGACAUGUCCUCCGACAAUUCUAUCUGACUAUAAAUGCAGGUGAUCAGCCCAAAACAGUUACAAAUCUCCCUGCACCAGUACAAGGUUAAAGCCAUAAUGGGAAACUCCAACCAAGGACCACAUUCCCAAACCCCACAUGGAGAUCCCCACCAUAACGACCACCAUCAGCAUGAUCCUCAUCCAGGACCUCCUUCACCUCAUCACCAAGGUCCCAACAUACAGUAUGGUAGUUCUGGACAGUUUAAUCCACAUGGACAAACUGGUUUACAGGAACACCAUGGACAUCAUGGGCAUCAGGAUCACCAUGGGCAACAUGGGCAUCAGGAUCACCAUGGGCAACAUGGCCACCAUUAAACCUUACUAUCUAGCCAUUCAGGUGCCAAAAUGAAAGAAAAACACUCAUGAUGCUGAGAUACAAGAAGAGUGAAUGCAAGAAGAGCACCAUGCUACAUUUACUAUACAUGACUAUAUAAACAGACACGUUUACUGUAUAUGUGUUAAUAAGUUACUGUUAUCUUUAGUUUUACAUAUUUCUUUUUUUCCCCCAAGGUUGAGGCAGCAUGGUGUCCCAUGUUGUACCUUUUUCUGGUGUUUCCCACCAUAUAGCUUACAAUUAUACAAUCUACAAAUAACCAUACCAAUCUGUGCUUCAUUAUAAAUGUUGUUUGGUGCCCAAAUAAUAGUGUCAUCAGCUAAAUAAUUCUUCCACAUAGUUACCUCAAUAACAAUUUACACAAUACCACCAACAACAUACAGUGCAGAUAUAAUGCAGUUUAAAAUGACAAGUAGCAAUACUACUAAAUAUCUAUCAAUCUAUCUAUAUAUGUUAAAAUUUACCUUAAAAAAAAUGGCAGCCAGCUUUAAU